GGCGCUGCUUAGCUUACUGGGGGUGGAUCGCUGCAGCGCUUGUAGGUGCAUAUGCGCAUGCGUGGGACUGGUGAAAAUGGUGUCACCCAGCCACCCAGUGCCGAGUAUUGGAACUUUGUUCUCCAAGAUCAGUAAUCGCACACCCGUCCUUUGUCUUCGGCUUCCAUCUACUCUCCACUUUUACACAGUCCGUGACCAAGCCCCAGGCAGUACCUCCCUCCUGAGUUUUGUCUCAGAUGCAGCUGUGUUUCCGACCCCUCACUUCUGAGGGACUGCGGCUUUGACCCGUUCUGCCCCUCUGCUGGAGGAUCUCACCGAGCAAUGGUCGGGUGCCGGCCGCACCCAGGAACAUUCGCGGGACCAUGCUGCUGCUGCUGCCCAGAGACUGCGGCCGGGUGCCAGCCCCCGCAGAAAAAGUUCCCGAGAUCGUGUAGCAGCAGCGUUUCCGGGAUUUACGGAAAACCACAACACACACCUGGCUCCAGGCUUCACCCUUAACGACCUCGUUCCAGCGCCAGCGAAUGUGGUGGUUCUCCCGGGUCCACUGGGGCCUUGCCUUUGGGGGACCCACACAGCCCCUACCUGAUGUCCUCCCAGCAGGGGAACUGCCUCUCUCCCUGUGGCCCGAAGAACCCUGGACUCCGCUCUGCUCCUGGGGAUUCGCCCUUCCCACCAGAGCACCACCAGAACUUCUGGUGCUGGUGGCCACCUGGGAUCUACCUCUAAGUUCCUGCUGCCAGACUGGCCCAUGGAACAUUCUCCGUGUGAUGGCUGUCCUGGCUGCCCAACUAGAAGAACGCAGGUCUAUGGGAAGUCAGAGGCUGUGUUUAUUCACCUGGAUCUCAUCUCACACGGUGCCGGGCACACGAGGAGUAUUGAGUGCCUGUAUGCUAAAUACAUGAGUGCCUCGAAACCACCACCCUCUCAAUCACUUUACAGAGGAAGAAGCUGGAGUCCACAGAGCUUCUUCCAAUCCAGGCUGAGAAAGGGGCCCGUGAAGUGCUGCUGGGAUGAGGACCUGGGUCUCGUUCAAGAGCAAGGGCACACACGUCCCUGGGUCUGCGCCUAACACUACUGCGUAUGGCUCCAGGCCAAAUCUCCAAAUGAAAUCAGGCCGGGGAGAAAUGAACAACCGAGAUGCACAAAACAAUGUGAAGAAGAAACGAAUAAUAAUAUAAAAAAAAAAGGUGAGA